rnacentral:lncRNA from 10 species
AGUAAGUCUCACCAGAUCUGAGGUUUUAUAAACGGAAAUUCCCCUGCACAAGCUCUCUCUUUGCCUACCACCGUGUAAGAUAUCCCAUUCCCUUUGCUCUUCCUUCGUCUUUCACCAUGAUUGUGAAGCCUCCCAAGCCAUGUGGAACUUAACAGGAUAAAAAGCUAGAGGAAUUAGAAGCAUGAGAAGGAUUUCACCUGCUGUUGCUGGCUUGAAGAUGGAGAAGACCACAGGAUAAGAGAUGUCAGUGGCCUCUAGAAGCUAACAGUGUCCCCUAACUCGCAGCCAGCAAGAAGUUAGCAACCUUAAUCCUACAACAAUGAGGAACCUAAUCCUUAAUGGAAACUAAUUAUUCUCCAGAGUCUUCAGUGUUCCCAGGAAACAUAACAUUCCAGAAGGCACAUCUGCCGUUACUAUAACAACAGAAAGGCAGCGUCUACGGAGAAUUAUCUGCACUAGAGGGCAGACUGCAAACCAGCAGGAUUCCUGGGUUCCUCUUCCAGGAGGCAAGGGUAAAUUUUGGUGAAAAGAAGCAAAGCCUGAACAGGGUUUUGGUGUAUGGAUGGGGCAUAGAGUGCUCAGAAUUUGAGGAAGGUGAAGGGCAGCCCAAGGUUUAUAAACUGUUUCUAGACCAAAGGUGCAAAACUGCUGUCAAGGAAAUCAGCUAGCAAGGAUUUAGGAAAACAUCUUAUUGUUGGGGUACAGGCACAGAGUUAAGAACUGGUUGGGGUAAUACUAGACAGAUGAAAGAAUCACUUUCCAGCUGUUUGACCCAAAGACAAAUCACAUCGCCUCCCAAGGGAGGUGAAGUCACUUACCCAGAGGAACAACAUCCACUACGAUCGCCCUAAGAGAUACUGAGAAUAGUCUUGAGCAUGGCUAUCAAGGCAAGUCCUGAGAUGCUUGCUAAAGAGUUGAACAUAGACAUGAAUCUCAGUCAGUCUGUCUGAGACUUUGCCUCUUUCCUUGCCUUGGCUUUUACUUUACUAGCUUCUUCUCAGGUUCUGGAUCUCUUUAGGCUUCUUUUCCAACCUCGCUACUAGACUGAUCUAUAUUUGGGAGUCCACCUCAGCCUGUCUGCCAUUCCAAAAAAAAAAAAAAAAACCCUAUUCAUGUCACUAAUCCCACUCUGCAUUCCUAGUCUCUCAGUUUCAAUUUCUCCUUACCUAACCUCUGGCUUUGCUUCAACAUAGAGUUUUCAGACCAUCCUGGAUUAAACUUUGCCCCUUUUAUGGUCAAAAUGGCUUAAUUAGCCAAUUAAGUUACCAUUCAGAGGAAGAGAUUAAUACUAGCAUAAAAUAAAUAAGCAGACAUAAAUUAAUUUCUAUAAAUGGUUUGAAGGAAAUAAACUAAAGUGUAGGAAAAACAGAGUGAGCCUUCCUUUUGUAGGUGGUCAAGAAAGACAUCUCUAAGGGAGGUGAUAUUUAAGUUGAGACCCAAGAAGAGAAGGAGUAGUUGGCUGUAUGAAUAGCAUGUGCAAAGCCCUGCAGCAUGAAAGAGGUUGUGGUUGUAGAACAAAAAGACUGCUGGGAUGAGGCAUCUCAGUAGCAAGCCGAGGAUAAGAGGGUCUUGAGAUGAGAGUGGGUACAGACCAGAUCAUGGAGACAUUUACAAGUCACGGUUAAACAGUUUGGAUUUCAUUCCAAGUUUCUUAAAUGGCAUAUUGUCACAAGACCAAAAGAGACCUUUGGGACUCAUUCCAUCUGUCAGGUAGGAGGUAAUUCUUUUUCUUUUUAUCCAUGCACCAACUUCUGUAAGUAAACUUGACUAAUGUUUGUUUAUAAUCAGUGAGUAAGCUGCUACUUUAAUACCGCUACCCUGGAAGAGGCCCUUCAAGGCAUGUUAAAUUAACUGAUGUGAAUAAAAACAAUGAAUAAAAAUACCUCUCUCCUUUAAUGAGAACAGCGACUUCUGUUUCCCUGAGCUUUUUCAGUCCCAUAAGACCUUUUAAAACAGAGUGAGCAUGUUCAGGUUCAAAUGCUAAAAACAUAAUCUUGUCUCUCUCUUGUUGGAUUAUGUUUCGAGAAGCCAUUUUAGAUCAAUCUUUUUGAGCACACAAGCUUCAGAAGCUGUGACUAAAACAUACCCAGCACUGCUGCUAGGUUGGUCAUUUUUCCCUAAGGCUGUUCUCACACAGAACCAAAGGGAUGUGCCCCUUCAUCUGAUACAUGGACCCUCCAGCUCAGGGACUGAUGAAAAAGAAGCCCCAAAGUUUGUGUUCUAUAAGGGCCUGCUUAUCCACUCAAAUCUCGUGUAAAAGGUUGGGUAAGAGUCUAUGUGCUUCUCUAAUUUGCCAUUCCUACGGGAGUUACAAAAAGUUUACAGAGGCACUUUUGGGAUCUAUUCAUAUGUUCUGCAUAUACUAUCUCGUAGGGAUUAGAUUCCAUGUUUAUCACACACUCUACAAAGAGACAAUGUUGUGUAAUGAAAAUUAGAUUUUAUUCCAAUUGUGUAAUUCAUUUGUUUUAUGGCCAAGUAAAAGUUAUUUUCUUUCCAAGCAUUUUUGUUUGUUUGUUUGUUUGUUUGUUUGUUUGCAAGAUGACCUCUAGGGCUCCUUCCAGUUCUAUGACUUUGUGAAUCUCUAUCAACAUGGACUCAAGAACAAUGCUGGUAUUAGCUAUGGUAAGCUAAACUGCUGUUACAAGUAGACUUCAAAGUGCAAAGGCCCAAACAAAAUAGAAAUCUUUUUUUUUCACCCAAUGGCUCAGGACAGGUGUUCUAGAUCAGCUGACAGCUCUGCUCCACAAUUCAAUUCAGAGAACUGGUCUAAAGAUACUUGGCCUUCAAAGUCACUCUAAUAAUAGCCCUUCCAGUCAGUCCAUCAGAAAGAAGACAAGCUGAAGUCCUGGGUAAGAGAUAUCUCACAAGGUAAAUGAAAUUAAAUUAUUCCUCUGGCAAGAGCCUAAACACAAGGUCACAUCUAGCUGCAAGAGAGGCCACAAAAUAUAGUCCCAGUCUGGAUCCAGACAGAACUCCAUUACUAGGGAAGAAGAUGAGAGAGAAUUGGGGUGGACAUAGAGCAGCCUCUGCUACGUGCCUAAUUCCUAUAUUAGGUUUCAGACUAUUAAACUUUUCAAUUACUGAAUUAUCAUCACAGUUCUAAGAGACAAUUACUACAAUGUUCAUUCUACAGAUGUGAAAACUAUGUCCCAAAGAGCUGAAGUAAAACACAUGAAGUCUCACAGUUAAAAGCUGAGCUAAGCUUCAAUUUCAGGUCUGCUGGUCAGUGCUUUCUCUACCAUAAGUACUAAAUUGAAAUAUUUGCAUAGCAAAUAAUCAUUAGCAUAAAUCUGCAUGAAUAAAAAGAACAACAAGGCAUUAUUGUGAAAGGUAAGAGGAACAGCUAAAGCAUGCAGCAGAUCUAGGACUGACUCCAAGUGUUAAGAGGUCUCCAAACUGAAAGAUGG